rnacentral:rRNA from 1 species
ACUGAAUAGAUACCCUGGUAGUCCCAGCCGUAAACGAUGCUCGCUAGGUGUCAGGCAUGGCGCGACCGUGUCUGGUGCCGCAGGGAAGCCGUGAAGCGAGCCACCUGGGAAGUACGGCCGCAAGGCUGAAACUUAAAGGAAUUGGCGGGGAGGCACAACAAACGGUACGGGUAGGCCUCGUCGGUUUAAGUUUUAGUACGUCAACGACCGGCCGAAACUACACCGGGGGCCGGGACAGCAACUAAUGUAGGUCCGAACGACUGAAGAACUUUGUCCUCGAAUACGCUGAGAGGAGGUGCAU